UGGCUCAGAGGUUAAAGCAUCUGCCUGCAAUGCAGGAGACCCGGGUUCGAUCCCUGG
rnacentral:tRNA from 1 species